AUUGAACGCUGGCGGCAGGCCUAACACAUGCAAGUCGAACGAGUGGCGGACGGGUGAGUAAUGUCUGGGAAACUGCCUGAUGGAGGGGGCUAACUACUGGAAACGGUAGCUAAUACCGCAUAACAUCAGAUGUGCCCAGAUGGGAUUAGCUAUUUGGUGGGGUAACGGCUCACCAAGGCGACGAUCCCUAACUGGACUGCGAGGAUGAACAGCCACACUGGAACUGAGACACGGUCCAUACUCCUACGGGAGGCAGCAGUGGGGAAUAUUGCACAAUGGGGGCAAGCCUGAUGCAGCCAUGCCGAGUGUAUGAAGAAGGCCUUCGGGUUGUAAAGUACUUUCAGCGGGGAGGCGUUACCCGCAGAAGAAGCACCGGCUAACUCCGUGCCAGCAGCCGCGGUAAUUC
rnacentral:rRNA from 1 species